UACAGAGGUCUCAAGCGUUGUUCGGAUUCAUUGGGCGUAAAGCGCGUGUAGGCGGCUCGUUAAGUCUGCUGUGAAAGUCCAGGGCUCAACCCUGGGAUGCCGGUGGAUACUGUCGAGCUCGAGUCCGGAAGAGGCGAGUGGAAUUCCUGGUGUAGCGGUGAAAUGCGCAGAUAUCAGGAGGAACACCAAUGGCGAAGGCAGCUCGCUGGGACGUGACUGACGCUGAGACGCGAAAGCGUGGGGAGCAAACAGG
rnacentral:rRNA from 1 species